rnacentral:lncRNA from 1 species
CCUUUCUCUGGAGGAGCUCCGCGCGUGGCGAGUCUGUGUCCUCCCUGUCCCCCAGAGCAGAGAACCCUCUCUGUGUCUGGACGGGGGAGGAGCAGACGCUGGACAGGUUUUUGGCAAAAUGCUGGCAAUUCCCAGGAAGAUAUGUGGAGAACGGAAAGGUUGCUACACCCAAAUAGUGGCGCAAAGGCUAUGAUUAUGGAGGAUUGGACCUGCAAACUCCAGAACAGAGUUCUGCCCUCUGAGGACCCUGCCCUUUCCCAAAAGGGGUAUCUUAAGAAGGAAAAUAUGGCUGCUCUUUGCCGGACAGCAGAGUCCCAGAGUCUCGUUCUGUUGCCCAGGCUGGAGUGCAGUGGCGUGAUCUCGGCUCACUGCAAGCUUCGCCUCCCGGGUUCACGCCAUUCUCCUGCUUCAGCCUCCCGAGUAGCUGGGACUACAGGCGCCCACCACCAUGCCUGGCUAAUUUUUUUUGUAUUUAUAGUAGAGAUGGGGUUUCACCGUGUUAGCCAGGAUGGUCUCGAUCUCCUGACCUCGUGAUCUGCCCGCCUCGGCCUCCCAAAGUGCUGGGAUUACAGGCGUGAGCCACUGCACCCAGCCGAUAGUUUUCUUAUAAUUGAGUUCUGUAUAUAAAAUUACUGUAAAACAAAACUAUCAAAUUAUGUCAAGGGGGUAUACGCAUUUUAAGAUUUUAAGAUUCUUUAAUAUAUGAGUCAAUAAAAUCUUGUCUUUGACACUGCGAA